UUACACCCCUUGCUGAUUUAGUGUCCAUAAUAUAACACCCCCUUGCUGAUAUAGUGUUGAUAAUAUCCAUGAUCCCCACAAUCGACCCCAUGAACGCCACCAUCAUAAUCAUCAUCAUGGGCAUCAUACGCCCCCAUCACACUGCCCGCCACCUCACUGCCUAUCAUCUCAUUGCCCGCCACCAAUGCAACACUACCCGCUCCCACAUGGGGCUACCAUCCCCAAGCACCCUACCCUGGACAUUCACCACAAUCGGGACAGCCCUACUAUCCAGGCAGCCAGCCCCCUCCCCCUAGGGAUGCAUACCCUCCCCCUGACGGGGCAUACCCACAAGCUGGGAGUGUAUACCCAUCCGCACCUGGUGCCUCUGGGGGAUACCCUGGAUAUGGGGCCCAGCCACCCCCUAACAGAUGAGCGAGUUAAACCUACUGACACGUUGAGUAGCAAGGGAGGGGAGGGGGCAGUACUUGGCGGUACUACAGGUGCGUAGGCCAUCAUAAGCAAGUAGCUCAGGUUCACAAUAUGAAACACCACCUCGAUCAUUUUACAUUGUUUUAGACAUCUGCCCUUCCCCCCCCCCCUUCUCCCUCCUUUGCAGAUCUUACUGUUAUGGGUCAAGAAAGAUGCUGUACAAACAACUGCUAUUACAAUUAUUGGCAUUGAAAUAAUUUUUAUUCAAUUUAAUCUUUACAUAAACAAACAUUUUGUGAUUGCAUAUUUUUCUCAUUUAUUGUCUCAAUCAAAUUUUACUUUUAAUAAAAUAUAUUCUAAGGUCAAUC